UCCUCCUCCUCCUCCUCCUCCUGCUCCUCCUCCUUGUCCUAUUGACCAAUGGUAUCACGGCACGUCACGGUGGUGGUGGUGGUGGUGGUGGGAUAGGAGGCAGGCUGGCAGGGAGACCUCAUCACGGCUCACUCCUCAGUUCAUACUUGACCACCGCGGUGGACUGUGAGUGUAAAUACUAUAGCUGGGUUUAUUUUACUUCAGUUUUACGUGUACAGGACAAUACAGCGGCGCAGAUUGUGUUCCUAUGGAUUUUUUUUAUUACUGUAGUGUUGGCAGCGUGUGGAGUGUGGCAGAACGGCAGAGGUCACACAGCAGCUCAUCCCACAGCAGGCUGCCCUCCCCUGUGCCGCCACCACCACCACCACUACCAGUGAGGGAGGAGGCAGAGGUACAGCUCACCAAAUUGUCAGAUGAUGGAGAGAAGAAUUUUCUCACCUUGAAGAUAGAGGAGAAGAGCAAACUGGAGGAAACCAACUGGGAGGAGGAGGAAAAACUUUGCUCCAGUCUAAUGGAGAGAGAGAGAGAGAGAGAGAGAGAGAGAGAGAGAGAGAGAGAGAGAGAGAGAGAGAGAGAGAGAGAGAGAGAAGGAAAAUUCACAGGAGCAAAGGUCAGUCAGUCUCUCUCUCUCUCUCUCUCUCUCUCUCUCUCUCUCUCUCUCUCUCUCUCUCUCUCUCUCUCUCUCUCUCUCUCCCUUGCCCCUACAGAUUCCCACGCUGCUGUACCACGGGAUGGAGAGUGAGAGAGUGGAGAAGAGGGAGCUGAUCAGAAGGGCUGUGGAAGUGGAAGGGUGCCCUGUCCGAGUCCUGCCAGUCCUGUUAUGACGUCCUAUGAGGGAGAAGACAACAUCGAGUACUUUUUGGGCCUCACACCAGCUGGGGUCGUUGUACUCAAAAAUAAGGCGAAAGUGGGGAAUUAUUUUUGUCCGAGAAUUUCCAAGGUGUAUUUUCGUGGGAGAUUUUUCAGAGUGAAAGAUAAAAAUAGCUUGGAGAACACCUACGGCUUGGAGACACCCAGUAAGUCAGCCUGUAAACACCUGUGGCAGUGCUUCUUCAGAUUGACUCAAGCUUCUGGGAAUUCUACGGAUGCUGUCUUCUCCCUUGGAGCUGGUCUGGGGGGUGGACGAGGUGGGGGGCAGGUGUGUGAGGCUGUGUGAGGUGUAAGAAGAGGGAGAGGUGUGUAGAAAUUAAGUUUAAGGCAGAGGAGUGACAGAGACCAUUUUUAGUUUGUUUUGGAGAGGUUUUGGGUGUUUUGGUGGUGUUUGGG